rnacentral:tRNA from 1 species
CAGAAGAUAGUUUAGUAAUAAGAACACCAGCUUUGGGAGCUGGAAGUAGAGGUUUGUAAUCCUCUUUUUCUGA